rnacentral:rRNA from 1 species
CCAGAGAACUUAGCAGAGAUGCUUUGGUGCCUUCGGGAACUCUGAGACAGGUGCUGCAUGGCUGUCGUCAGCUCGUGUUGUGAAAUUGUUGGGUUAAGUCCCGCAACGAGCGCAACCCUUAUCCUUUGUUGCCAGCGGCUCGGCCGGGAACUCAAAGGAGACUGCCGGUGAUAAACCGGAGGAAGGUGGGGAUGACGUCAAGUCAUCAUGGCCCUUACGGCCAGGGCUACACACGUGCUACAAUGGCGCAUACAAAGAGAAGCGACCUCGCGAGAGCAAGCGGACCUCAUAAAGUGCGUCGUAGUCCGGAUUGGAGUCUGCAACUCGACUCCAUGAAGUCGGAAUCGCUAGUAAUCGUAGAUCAGAAUGCUACGGUGAAUACGUUCCCGGGCCUUGUACACACCGCCCGUCACACCAUGGGAGUGGGUUGCAAAAGAAGUAGGUAGCUUAACCUUCGGGAGGGCGCUUACCACUUUGUGAUUCAUGACUGGGGUGAAGUCGUAACAAGGUAAGCGUAGCGAG